rnacentral:rRNA from 1 species
UACAGAGGGUGCAAGCGUUGUUCGGAAUUACUGGGCGUAAAGGGCGCGUAGGCGGCCUUCUAAGUCAGACGUGAAAUCCCCCGGCUUAACCUGGGAACUGCGUCUGAUACUGGGAGGCUUGAGUAUGGGAGAGGGAUGUAGAAUUCCAGGUGUAGCGGUGAAAUGCGUAGAUAUCUGGAGGAAUACCGGUGGCGAAGGCGGCAUCCUGGACCAUAACUGACGCUGAGGCGCGAAAGCUAGGGGAGCAAACGGG